rfam:Asian citrus Psyllid, Diaphorina citri - Florida Strain, whole genome shotgun sequence.
GCUCCCUGGUGUAGUGGUCACUGCACUCGCCUUGCACGCGGGAGACCCGGGUUCGAUUCCCGGCGGAGAGCA